rnacentral:rRNA from 1 species
AUUGAACGCUGGCGGCAUGCCUUACACAUGCAAGUCGAACGGCAGCACGGGUGCUUGCACCUGGUGGCGAGUGGCGAACGGGUGAGUAAUACAUCGGAACGUACCUUAUCGUGGGGAUAACGCAGCGAAAGUUGCGCUAAUACCGCAUACGCCCUGAGGGGGAAAGCGGGGGACCGUAAGGCCUCGCGCGAUUAGAGCGGCCGAUGUCUGAUUAGCUUGUUGGUGAGGUAAAAGCUCACCAAGGCGAUGAUCAGUAGCUGGUCUGAGAGGACGAUCAGCCACACAGUGACUGAGACACGGCCCAGACUCCGACGGGAGGCAGCAGUGGGGAAUUUUGGACAAUGGGGGCAACCCUGAUCCAGCAAUGCCGCGUGAGUGAAGAAGGCCUUCGGGUUGUAAAGCUCUUUUGUCAGGGAAGAAACAGCAGCACUGACACAGUCUGCGAAUGACGGUACCUGAAGAAUAAGCACCGGAUAACUACGUGCCAGCCGCCGCCGUAA